GGAUGCGAUCAUACCAGCACUAAAGCACCGGAUCCCAUCAGAACUCCGAAGUUAAGCGUGCUUGGGCGAGAGUAGUACUAUGAUGGGUGACCUCCUGGGAAGUCCUCGUGUUGCAUUCC
rnacentral:rRNA from 2 species